rnacentral:rRNA from 13 species
GGGUUGUGAGGUUAAGCGACUAAGCGUACACGGUGGAUGCCCUGGCAGUCAGA